AGCAGCCGCGGUAAUUCCAGCUCCAAUAGCGUAUAUUAAAGUUGUUGCAGUUAAAAAGCUCGUAGUUGAAUUUCGGGAUUGACACAUCGGUCGUGCCUUAAGGGGUAUGAACUGGUGUAGUCAAUUUCUCACCCUCUGGAGAACCGCGAUGCCCUUAAUUGGGUGUCACGGGGAACCAGGACCUUUACUUUGAAAAAAUUAGAGUGUUUAAAGCAGGCAUUUUGCUUGAAUACAUUAGCAUGGAAUAAUAAAAUAGGACGGCAUGAUUCUAUUUUGUUGGUUUCUAGGAUCACCGUAAUGAUUAAUAGGGAUAGUUGGGGGCAUUAGUAUUCAAUUGUCAGAGGUGAAAUUCUUGGAUCUAUUGAAGACUAACUACUGCGAAAGCAUUUGCCAAGGAUGUUUUCAUUAAUCAAGAACGAAAGUUAGGGGAUCGAAGACGAUCAGAUACCGUCGUAGUCUUAACCAUAAACUAUGCCGACUAGGAAUCAGACGAUGUUAAUUUUUUAAUGACUCGUUUGGC
rnacentral:rRNA from 1 species